rnacentral:rRNA from 1 species
CAGUAGCCACGGUAAUACGGAGGGGGCUAGCGUUGUUCGGAAUUACUGGGCGUAAAGCGCACGUAGGCGGCUUGGUAAGUUAGAGGUGAAAGCCUGGAGCUCAACUCCAGAAUUGCCUUUAAGACUGCCGAGCUAGCAGGUGAGAGAGGUAAGUGGAAUUCCGAGUGUAGAGGUGAAAUUCGUAGAUAUUCGGAAGAACAUCAGUGGCGAAGGCGGCCACCUGGGACAACACUGACGCUGAGGCACGAAAGCGUGGGGAGCAAACAGGAUUAGAUACCCGCGUAGUCCCUGUCUCUUAUAC